ACGGAGGGUGCAAGCGUUAUCCGGAUUCACUGGGUUUAAAGGGUGCGUAGGUGGGUUGGUAAGUCAGUGGUGAAAUCUCCGUGCUUAACAUGGAAACUGCCAUUGAUACUACUAGUCUUGAAUCUUCCGGAGGUCAGCGGAAUAUGUCAUGUAGCGGUGAAAUGCUUAGAUAUGACAUAGAACACCAAUUGCGAAGGCAGCUGACUACAGGGGCAUUGACACUGAGGCACGAAAGCGUGGGGAUCAAACAGGAUUAGAUACCCUGGUAGUCCACGCCCUAAACGAUGGAUACUCGACAUUUGUGAUACACAAUAAGUGUCUGAGCGAAAGCAUUAAGUAUCCCACCUGGGAAGUACGACCGCAAGGUUG
rnacentral:rRNA from 1 species